rnacentral:rRNA from 1 species
UGGCUCAGGACGAACGCUGGCGGCGUGCCUAAUACAUGCAAGUCGAACGAACUCUGGUAUUGAUUGGUGCUUGCAUCAUGAUUUACAUUUGAGUGAGUGGCGAACUGGUGAGUAACACGUGGGAAACCUGCCCAGAAGCGGGGGAUAACACCUGGAAACAGAUGCUAAUACCGCAUAACAACUUGGACCGCAUGGUCCGAGUUUGAAAGAUGGCUUCGGCUAUCACUUUUGGAUGGUCCCGCGGCGUAUUAGCUAGAUGGUGGGGUAACGGCUCACCAUGGCAAUGAUACGUAGCCGACCUGAGAGGGUAAUCGGCCACAUUGGGACUGAGACACGGCCCAAACUCCUACGGGAGGCAGCAGUAGGGAAUCUUCCACAAUGGACGAAAGUCUGAUGGAGCAACGCCGCGUGAGUGAAGAAGGGUUUCGGCUCGUAAAACUCUGUUGUUAAAGAAGAACAUAUCUGAGAGUAACUGUUCAGGUAUUGACGGUAUUUAACCAGAAAGCCACGGCUAACUACGUGCCAGCAGCCGCGGUAAUACGUAGGUGGCAAGCGUUGUCCGGAUUUAUUGGGCGUAAAGCGAGCGCAGGCGGUUUUUUAAGUCUGAUGUGAAAGCCUUCGGCUCAACCGAAGAAGUGCAUCGGAAACUGGGAAACUUGAGUGCAGAAGAGGACAGUGGAACUCCAUGUGUAGCGGUGAAAUGCGUAGAUAUAUGGAAGAACACCAGUGGCGAAGGCGGCUGUCUGGUCUGUAACUGACGCUGAGGCUCGAAAGUAUGGGUAGCAAACAGGAUUAGAUACCCUGGUAGUCCAUACCGUAAACGAUGAAUGCUAAGUGUUGGAGGGUUUCCGCCCUUCAGUGCUGCAGCUAACGCAUUAAGCAUUCCGCCUGGGGAGUACGGCCGCAAGGCUGAAACUCAAAGGAAUUGACGGGGGCCCGCACAAGCGGUGGAGCAUGUGGUUUAAUUCGAAGCUACGCGAAGAACCUUACCAGGUCUUGACAUACUAUGCAAAUCUAAGAGAUUAGACGUUCCCUUCGGGGACAUGGAUACAGGUGGUGCAUGGUUGUCGUCAGCUCGUGUCGUGAGAUGUUGGGUUAAGUCCCGCAACGAGCGCAACCCUUAUUAUCAGUUGCCAGCAUUAAGUUGGGCACUCUGGUGAGACUGCCGGUGACAAACCGGAGGAAGGUGGGGAUGACGUCAAAUCAUCAUGCCCCUUAUGACCUGGGCUACACACGUGCUACAAUGGAUGGUACAACGAGUUGCGAACUCGCGAGAGUAAGCUAAUCUCUUAAAGCCAUUCUCAGUUCGGAUUGUAGGCUGCAACUCGCCUACAUGAAGUCGGAAUCGCUAGUAAUCGCGGAUCAGCAUGCCGCGGUGAAUACGUUCCCGGGCCUUGUACACACCGCCCGUCACACCAUGAGAGUUUGUAACACCCAAAGUCGGUGGGGUAACCUUUUAGGAACCAGCCGCCUAAGGUGGGACAGAUGAUU